rnacentral:rRNA from 1 species
UACGAAGGGUGCAAACGUUGCUCGGAAUCAUUGGGCGUAAAGCGCACGUAGGCGGCCUGUUAAGUCGGAUGUGAAAUCCCUCGGCUCAACCGAGGACGUGCACCCGAAACUGGCGGGCUCGAGUAUGGAAGAGGGUCGCAGAAUUCCCGGUGUAGAGGUGAAAUUCGUAGAUAUCGGGAGGAAUACCAGUGGCGAAGGCGGCGACCUGGGCCAAUACUGACGCUGAGGUGCGAAAGCGUGGGGAGCAAACAGG